rnacentral:tRNA from 1 species
UCCCUGGAGGAAUAGUGGUUAGGCCACAGUGCUCUCACCACUGCAGCCCGGGUUCGAUUCCUGGCCAGGGAA